rnacentral:snRNA from 11 species
AUACUUACCUGGCGUGGAGGCUACCUUGAUCAAGAAGGAGGUUCCUCCAGGGUGAGGCCCUUCCAUUGCACUUACUGCUAGUUUUGCUGCUACGAAACGAAGAACAAUCAAGUUUGAUAAUUUGAUAUGUUUCCAUGGGGCAGAUUCGAG